GGGUUGUGAGGUUAAGCGACUAAGCGUACACGGUGGAUGCCCUGGCAGUCAGAGGCGAUGAAGGACGUGCUAAUCUGCGAUAAGCGCCGGUAAGGUGAUAUGAACCGUUAUAACCGGCGAUUUCCGAAUGGGGAAACCCAGUGUGACUCGUCACACUAUCAUUAACUGAAUCCAUAGGUUAAUGAGGCGAACCGGGGGAACUGAAACAUCUAAGUACCCCGAGGAAAAGAAAUCAACCGAGAUUCCCCCAGUAGCGGCGAGCGAACGGGGAGGAGCCCAGAGCCUGAAUCAGCAUGUGUGUUAGUGGAAGCGUCUGGAAAGGCGCGCGAUACAGGGUGACAGCCCCGUACACAAAAGCGCAUGUGCUGUGAGCUCGAUGAGUAGGGCGGGACACGUGGUAUCCUGUCUGAAUAUGGGGGGACCAUCCUCCAAGGCUAAAUACUCCUGACUGACCGAUAGUGAACCAGUACCGUGAGGGAAAGGCGAAAAGAACCCCGGCGAGGGGAGUGAAAAAGAACCUGAAACCGUGUACGUACAAGCAGUGGGAGCACCCUUCGGGGUGUGACUGCGUACCUUUUGUAUAAUGGGUCAGCGACUUAUAUUCUGUAGCAAGGUUAACCGUAUAGGGGAGCCGGAGGGAAACCGAGUCUUAAUUGGGCGUUAAGUUGCAGGGUAUAGACCCGAAACCCGGUGAUCUAGCCAUGGGCAGGUUGAAGGUUGGGUAACACUAACUGGAGGACCGAACCGACUAAUGUUGAAAAAUUAGCGGAUGACCUGUGGCUGGGGGUGAAAGGCCAAUCAAACCGGGAGAUAGCUGGUUCUCCCCGAAAGCUAUUUAGGUAGCGCCUCGUGAAUUCAUCUCCGGGGGUAGAGCACUGUUUCGGCUAGGGGGCCAUCCCGGCUUACCAACCCGAUGCAAACUGCGAAUACCGGAGAAUGUUAUCACGGGAGACACACGGCGGGUGCUAACGUCCGUCGUGAAGAGGGAAACAACCCAGACCGCCAGCUAAGGUCCCAAAGUCAUGGUUAAGUGGGAAACGAUGUGGGAAGGCCCAGACAGCCAGGAUGUUGGCUUAGAAGCAGCCAUCAUUUAAAGAAAGCGUAAUAGCUCACUGGUCGAGUCGGCCUGCGCGGAAGAUGUAACGGGGCUAAACCAUGCACCGAAGCUGCGGCAGCGAACGUAUCACCCAAGACAACUUUACGGAGUUGACGAUUGACGGAGCGAAGCGACGUCAAAGCGUUCAUUAAAGUCGAGUUGGCUUAGGGAUACGUUCGUUGGGUAGGGGAGCGUUCUGUAAGCCUGUGAAGGUGUGUCGUGAGGCAUGCUGGAGGUAUCAGAAGUGCGAAUGCUGACAUAAGUAACGAUAAAGCGGGUGAAAAGCCCGCUCGCCGGAAGACCAAGGGUUCCUGUCCAACGUUAAUCGGGGCAGGGUGAGUCGACCCCUAAGGCGAGGCCGAAAGGCGUAGUCGAUGGGAAACGGGUUAAUAUUCCCGUACUUGGUGUUACUGCGAAGGGGGGACGGAGAAGGCUAUGUUGGCCGGGCGACGGUUGUCCCGGUUUAAGCGUGUAGGUGUGUGUUCCAGGUAAAUCCGGUUCACUUUAACACUGAGGCGUGACGACGAGGCACUACGGUGCUGAAGCAACAAAUGCCCUGCUUCCAGGAAAAGCCUCUAAGCAUCAGGUAACAUCAAAUCGUACCCCAAACCGACACAGGUGGUCAGGUAGAGAAUACCAAGGCGCUUGAGAGAACUCGGGUGAAGGAACUAGGCAAAAUGGUGCCGUAACUUCGGGAGAAGGCACGCUGACACGUAGGUGAAGUGAUUUACUCAUGGAGCUGAAGUCAGUCGAAGAUACCAGCUGGCUGCAACUGUUUAUUAAAAACACAGCACUGUGCAAACACGAAAGUGGACGUAUACGGUGUGACGCCUGCCCGGUGCCGGAAGGUUAAUUGAUGGGGUCAGCGCAAGCGAAGCUCCUGAUCGAAGCCCCGGUAAACGGCGGCCGUAACUAUAACGGUCCUAAGGUAGCGAAAUUCCUUGUCGGGUAAGUUCCGACCUGCACGAAUGGCGUAAUGAUGGCCAGGCUGUCUCCACCCGAGACUCAGUGAAAUUGAACUCGCUGUGAAGAUGCAGUGUACCCGCGGCAAGACGGAAAGACCCCGUGAACCUUUACUAUAGCUUGACACUGAACAUUGAGCCUUGAUGUGUAGGAUAGGUGGGAGGCUUUGAAGUGUGGACGCCAGUCUGCAUGGAGCCGACCUUGAAAUACCACCCUUUAAUGUUUGAUGUUCUAACGUGGACCCGUAAUCCGGGUUGCGGACAGUGUCUGGUGGGUAGUUUGACUGGGGCGGUCUCCUCCUAAAGAGUAACGGAGGAGCACGAAGGUUGGCUAAUCCUGGUCGGACAUCAGGAGGUUAGUGCAAUGGCAUAAGCCAGCUUGACUGCGAGCGUGACGGCGCGAGCAGGUGCGAAAGCAGGUCAUAGUGAUCCGGUGGUUCUGAAUGGAAGGGCCAUCGCUCAACGGAUAAAAGGUACUCCGGGGAUAACAGGCUGAUACCGCCCAAGAGUUCAUAUCGACGGCGGUGUUUGGCACCUCGAUGUCGGCUCAUCACAUCCUGGGGCUGAAGUAGGUCCCAAGGGUAUGGCUGUUCGCCAUUUAAAGUGGUACGCGAGCUGGGUUUAGAACGUCGUGAGACAGUUCGGUCCCUAUCUGCCGUGGGCGCUGGAGAACUGAGGGGGGCUGCUCCUAGUACGAGAGGACCGGAGUGGACGCAUCACUGGUGUUCGGGUUGUCAUGCCAAUGGCACUGCCCGGUAGCUAAAUGCGGAAGAGAUAAGUGCUGAAAGCAUCUAAGCACGAAACUUGCCCCGAGAUGAGUUCUCCCUGAGACUUAGAGUCUCCUGAAGGAACGUUGAAGACGACGACGUUGAUAGGCCGGGUGUGUAAGCGCAGCGAUGCGUUGAGCUAACCGGUACUAAUGAACCGUGAGGCUUAACCUUACAACGCCGAAG
rnacentral:rRNA from 1 species